rnacentral:SRP_RNA from 1 species
GCCAGGUGUGGUGGCGGGCACCUGUAAUCCCAGCUACUUGGGAGGCUGAGGCAGAAGAAUCGCUUGAAUCCGGGAGGUGGAGGUUGCAGUGAGCCGAGAUUGCACCACUGCACUCCAGCCUGGGUGACAGAGUGAACUUCUGUCUCAA